UUUGCUUUCACUGUAAGUGCUUUUUUUUUUUUCCAGUUAAUUUUAAUGAUUUAUAUUCAAUUUUACUGUUUUGUUAUUGAUUAAGAAGAAUGUGAAUUCAUGACUUAGCUUUAUUCUUCUAUAAUAAAAGGGCUAGUGUAUGAUUGAGAAGUGGGGUUGGGGUAGGGCAGCGUUUCUGCAAAAUAGUUAUUUUGGAGAAGACAAUUUAGAAGGUUGCAAAAUAUUUUUUGUUAAUUGGUUAAAUGUUUUUUUAAUUAUGUGGGCAAAAAUGCCACAUGUCAUUGAUUCAUUGGCUACUUUUUAUUUUUCUCAAAAUUCAUUAUUUAAGAAUGAUUUUAGGCACAAAUGACAAAUGUCGUCAUUUAAUUAAAAACUUUACGCGUCAUUCGCGAGUGCAUUACACACACAUUACAUAUUUUUGCUGAUUGUAAAGAAAGUAUCAAAAUGACACAACAUGACCUUACAUGAAGUGUCUAAAAUGAACUUUAUAAAUAAUUCACCCGAUUGUUAUCUAACCACUCAUGUAAUCAGAAUCAUAAAUAAUUCGCCCGAUUGUUACAUGAUUUCCCUUCAACUUAAAGACUCUGAUUUCGUCCAAAUCUUGACAAGGUUGGGAAAAUCCAAAAGAUAUUCAUUGAAAAAGACACUAACAAAAGAUAUUUAGUUUGUGAAUCAUUUACCUUGUUUCCUUGAGAUUCAAGUUUGGCUUGGAGCAAUUCUUCAAAGAAAAGAAUUUCGUCGAUUUUUCGCUGCAAAAGAUAAGGUACACAAUUCGUCGAUUUCUUUCUAUAGAUCCAACAAAUGGCAUUAAAGCCAGGUUUAAUUGUUCCCUGUUUGAAUAAUGAUUGAAAUUCUCUGGUUGAAUGAAUUGAGAAAUUUGAAAUAUGAUUAUAAAUAUAUUUAUCUUUGUCCAUUAUCGAUCUGUUUUCUUUUGGUUACUCGAUAUUCCUUUAUGAGUAGGAAAAAGAGAAAAGAUUUACUGACUUGAGUAUUUUUUCUUCCUUAUGGUUCUUUCAUUGAAUUUUGUUGAAGUUUUGUUUGUUGUUUCUCAUUUUUUUUCCCAUGAAAGUAACGGGAGAAGAUGAGUAAUAUUUAUAAAGAGUUAUUUUAUAGGUUGAAAAGGAAAAAGAUUUUGAGUUGAAUAAGAACUUGAAAAAGUCAACUUCUAUUUUUUUUUUGUUAAUAAAUAAAAAAAAUAAAAAUUGGAAGAGAGUUUAAGGGACAAGUCAUAUUCUUUUUGUUAAGGAUUAAAAGAGAAAAAUAAAAUGGUCUCACAACUUUUUCCAAUUGGAACGUGUGAACCUUUCCCUUCUUUUUUUUUUUGUCCUUUUCUAUAAGGAUUAAAGAGGAAAAAAAUUGUCCCACUAUUUAAAUAAAAAGAAAAAUGGAGUUUCUUUUUGUCCUUUUCUAUUAAGGAUUAAAAAGAAAAAAAAAAUGGUCCAAUUUUUUUUAUAAAAUACUUAUACCAUUUUCUUUGGUAUCAUAAAGAACUAUUUUUUUUUUAAUGAAGAAUAGACAAUGGUUUUGUAGUAUUUUUUUUAUGUUAACAAAGUAUUUAUUUUAUUAUUUACUUUAACAUAAGAUUUUUCAAGUGGUCAAAUUAGAUUGUGGUUGACUUUGAAUUUUUUUUGUAAAGCCAUAAGUUAUCUUCUUUACUUAACGAAGAAUAGUGAUAACUUGUUUUGACUAGAUUAUAAUUUUAAUUAUGUGUAUUAAAAUUGGUCUUGAAAAAAUCUCUUAGUCCUUUAAAUUCCUUAAACGGUUCCUUGUCUCCUACGAGAAAUUUGUGACAUACGUUAUCGCAUUAAAUGGUAUUAACUAUAUUUCCGUUUUUAUUUCCAUUUCAGAUAUGGUUGAACGGAAACAUGCUCAAAUUACUCCAAGUGGGAGUUCUCAAAGUCGAGCAAAGGGACAAGAUAGGAGAGCAAGCCGUCGUAAGACAUGUUUCUGAGGGCGUGAAAUCAUAAGAUUGGUGUCCCAAGGGCGACACAAAAUCUGUCAAGGAACCAAAGGGUCAUUCGAAGGGAAAAAGAGAAAAAAUUUAAAGUGUUUGAGUCAUUGAAGAUGUUCCCUAAUAUGUCAGCACGUGAUUUUAUUCACCUUUUUGAAAUAAAUGAGUUGAACUGGCUGAUUAAAAGGAAAUUUCAGAUUGGAGAGUCUUAGCUUAUUUAACAGACGCUCUCCAUGAACCUUGGGGUAGUAGAUUGACUGAUUUUUAUCAUGACAUUUGGUUUAGGGUUUACAUUUGUUGUCUUGAAGACUUGUGGGAGGAUUUCAGUCUUUGAAUUACUUGUAAAUUUUUAUUGCUUAUUUGUUUUUCAAGAUAUGAAUUAUGUAGUUUGUUUUCUCUCAAAUUAUGUUAUUAG
rnacentral:lncRNA from 1 species